UACAGAGGGUGCGAGCGUUAAUCGGAAUUACUGGGCGUAAAGCGCGCGUAGACGGUUUUGUAAGUCAGAUGUGAAAUCCCCGGGCUCAACCUGGGAACUGCAUUUGAGACUGCAUGGCUAGAGUAUGGAAGAGGGAAGUGGAAUUUCCGGUGUAGCGGUGAAAUGCGUAGAUAUCGGAAGGAACACCAGUGGCGAAAGCGACUUCCUGGUCCAAUACUGACGUUCAUGUGCGAAAGCGUGGGGGAGCAAACAGG
rnacentral:rRNA from 1 species